AUUGAACGCUGGCGGCAGGCUUAACACAUGCAAGUCGAGCGGGGAAGGGUAGCUUGCUACCUGACCUAGCGGCGGACGGGUGAGUAAUGCUUAGGAAUCUGCCUAUUAGUGGGGGACAACAUUCCGAAAGGAAUGCUAACACCGCAUACGCCCUACGGGGGAAAGCAGGGGAUCUUCGGACCUUGCGCUAAUAGAUGAGCCUAAGUCAGAUUAGCUAGUUGGUGGGGUAAAGGCCUACCAAGGCGACGAUCUGUAGCGGGUCUGAGAGGAUGAUCCGCCACACUGGGACUGAGACACGGCCCAGACUCCUACGGGAGGCAGCAGUGGGGAAUAUUGGACAAUGGGCGAAAGCCUGAUCCAGCCAUGCCGCGUGUGUGAAGAAGGCCUUUUGGUUGUAAAGCACUUUAAGCGAGGAGGAGGCUACCGAGAUUAAUACCUUGCUGUUUUGACGUUACCAACAGAAUAAGCACCGGCUAACUUCGUGCCAGCAGCCGCCGUAACAC
rnacentral:rRNA from 1 species